AUUGAACGCUGGCGGCAUGCCUAACACAUGCAAGUCGAACGAGUGGCGGACGGGUGAGUAAUUUCUUGGAAACUGCCCGAUGGAGGGUGAUAACUCCUGGAAACGGUAGCUAAUACCGCAUACCCUCGUUUGUUCCCAGAUGGGUUUAGCGAGUAGGUUGGGUAACGGCUAACCAAGGCCACGAUCCCUAGCUGGUCUGAGAGGAUGACCAGCCACACUGGAACUGAGACACGGUCCAGACUCCUACGGGAGGCAGCAGUGGGGAAUAUUGCACAAUGGGCGCAAGCCUGAUGCAGCCAUGCCGCGUGUAUGAAGAAGGCCUUCGGGUUGUAAAGUACUUUCAGCAGGGAGGCGUUACUCGCAGAAGAAGCAACGGCUAACUCCGUGCCAGCCGCCGCGGUAAUUC
rnacentral:rRNA from 1 species